ACAAACAAGUUCACCCAACGAGUUUCUAAAACCAAUGAGUUCACCCAAAAGUCCGAACUGAUGGAGCAUUCCACAUGUACUUCAAUAGUAAGUAUAUAUUACAUUGCAAUGAUAUUCACAAAUAUGGCAUUUUCUUUCGUGUACACAAACUGCAUUUCCAGCAACAGAUUGUCAACAAAAUUUCGGCACUUUGUAGAUGACAACAAUGUCCGCACUAUCCACGCGAGAUGGCAAAUGUGUGGGUUCUUGUUAGAGUUGUGUUGAAUAUAGUGUACAAGGUAGGUUACAGUUGAACUAGGAGUUGUAUUGUUUUUACAUAGGAUAUGGAGUCGUGUCCUAGUAGGACACUUGUAUCCUAGGCCUCUCAUAUAUAGCGGGGGUAGACACACGAUGUAACCUAUGCCAACAUAAUAGCACGGGCACGCGGGGGAGCCGGCGGCGUGUGCCGGCGCUCGGGCAGCCAGAGUGCGGUAUUGUGACGGUGUCACGGGGAGAAGCGCUAGUAGUCAGGCCCCGGGAUGUAGCCAUAGCGGUGAACCUCGUUAACAAAUUUCGGUGUCGUGCUCAUGUGAUUGCUUGGUCCUCGAAUGAUCAACGGUAUGCCUCGAAUUUAUUCUAACAAGUGGUAUCAUGAGCUAGGUUGUUCGGAGGUCGUUGUGUUGAUCAAGAGGUGGCCGAACUGUGUGUUGAUUUCGUUCGUCGUGGACGGCGUUUGUGGAUAUCAGCAUAAUCGGACAGCGGCGGAAAAGAAGCAACGAGAAGCCGGCAGAGUUCUCGGCGAGAUCGGGUAGCAGCAUCGUAUGGCGCAAGCAGUUGACGGAUCGAUUGAUGCAACGCCUGGAAGCGGCUGGUCUGGUGCGCGUUGGCGCAGCGUUCGUGAGGUCCAGUUAAGCAGCGGCCUGGCAGGAGCCCGUGGCCCAUGUGUGGCUGUUUGGUCAAGCCUGGCUGACCUGGUGGAGGCGUGCACGGGGGCGUACGGACUACGGAGGCUGGCAGGGCUGCAUUACUGUAUGGUGUGGAAAGCUAUGAAUCUGUACGAGAAAACUGCUGCUGGAUAUGCGAGGCAAGGUGAGAUUUGUUUGAGACAAAAAAAGGAAGGAUCGAGUCCUCGUGUGACACAGAAAGGCAGGAGACAGAUCAAUUUGGCGAUGAAAACAAUUCAUCACGUUGGAAUCCAUCAGAUUUAGCAGGAGUUGACAAAGCAACAGCCGGUUGAGCUAGAGCUACUACACGUGAAGAUCAAAAGUUUUUGGUCGCAAGUGCUAGUAGUACACGCAUGUUCUGUCGUGUACUUGUGCAUCACAGGGAGAUUGCUCACGUAUUUUUCACAAAGUCAGCCGUACAAAGAACCAGAACGUCAAUGGGUGUCAGGUUUGAGGUGGAGAAGUUUGUGGAACUGGAAACCUUGGGUUAUGGCAGACAUGAGUGAAAGAUUGUUGAUGCGACAGGGAUGCUUGAAGGCGUUGCGGGAAGUCAUGCCAGCUCAGAUGAAAUUAUCAUGUGAUGGAUGGAAAUUCACGGAAGACGAUUUGGGAGCCUCGAGCGUGUCAUGCAGUCGGAGAAGUUCGGCUUGGUUGGACUAGAUAGUCUGACGGAUCGACGUGAGUCGGUUGAUACAGAAGACGGUGUUGGGAUCGGCGACGACGACAUAGGCGCGUGAUGCUUUUGGUGACUGACUUCUGGGCGUGGAAACACGCGGCACGGGCCCAGAGGGCUUGUGUGACUUCGACAAGACUAUGACGCAGGGUUGAUUCAAGGUGGUGUAUACACGGAGCUUGAAAUCG
rnacentral:lncRNA from 1 species